ACGCAAUAGAUACCCGGGUAGUCCUGGCCGUAAACGAUGGGCACUGGGCGGUCUGCUCGCCGAUGGGCGGGCCGCCGCAGCGAAAGCGGGAAGUGCCCCGCCUGGGGAGUAUGGUCGCAAGGCUGAAACUCAAAGGAAUUGACGGGGGGCUCACACAAGCGGUGGAGUGUGUGGCUUAAUUCGAGGCCACGCGAAGAACCUCGACCCGGGUCUUGACAUGCACGGAUUAGCCGGCGGAAACGCCGAUGACGCCGAGAGGUGGAACGUGCACAGGUGCUGCAUGGCUGUCGUCAGCUCGUGUCGUGAGACGUCGGGUUUCAGUCCCGUAACGAGCGCAACCCCUGCGUCCAGUUGCCAGCGCGUGAUGGCGGGAACUCUGGACGGACUGCCGGCGUCAAGCCGGAGGAAGGCGGGGACGACGUCAAGUCCUCAUGGCCCUUAUGCCCGGGGUCUGCACACGUACGACAAUGGGCCCGGACAAAGCGCUUGCGAUGCCGCAAGGCGGAGCCAAUCGCAUC
rnacentral:rRNA from 1 species